AGUCCCGUAGCUCAAUUGAAUAGAGCCGACAUCUGUCUAAUGUUUUAAUGUGGGUUUGAAUCCCACCGGGACUA
rnacentral:tRNA from 1 species